GAUGAACGCUGGCGGCGUGCUUAACACAUGCAAGUCGAACGAAGCAUUUGCGACAGAUUUUUUCGGACUGAAGUUGCUUAUGACUGAGUGGCGUACGGGCGAGUAACGCGUGGGUAACCUGCCUUGUACUGGGGGAUAGCAGCUGGAAACGGCUGGUAAUACCGCAUAAGCGCACAAUGUUGCAUGACGUGGUGUGAAAAACUCCGGUGGUAUAAGAUGGACGCGCGUCUGAUUAGGUAGUGGGUGAGAUAACAGCCCACCAAGGCGAGGAUCAGUAGCCGACCGGGUAGGGUGACCGGCCACAUUUGGACUGAGGCACGGCCCAGACUCCGACGGGAGGCAGCAGUAGGGAAUAUUACACAAUGAAGGAAACUCUGAUGCAGCGACGCCGCGUGAGUGAAGAAGUAAUUCGUUAUGUAAAGCUCUAUCAGCAGAGAAGAUAGUGACGGUACCUGACUAAGAAGCUCCGGCUAAAUACGUG
rnacentral:rRNA from 1 species